rnacentral:lncRNA from 1 species
GACUUACGAUAGAAAAUGCACAUACCGAUUUUUAUUCUCAACAAUUGACAUUUUCUUCUCAAUCAUUUUAUAAAGUUGUUACCCCUUCCUUUCUUAUUAUUGUUUUCCAAAGUAAUUAAUAAAGGCCAGAAAUGAUCAUAUUUCCAGCGAGACAAGCUGAGGGUCGCAACAGCAUAUCUGGUGGUGUCGGUGCCGCAGCUGGUGAUGGAGAUGGUGCCAUGUCAUCAGCUGGUGGAGAAAGCAGUGGAGGUGACGAUGAUGGAGGUGGUGGAGAAGGUGAUGGAGGUAGUGGAGAAGGUGGUGGUGGUGGCGACAGCUGUUGCCGCUUAGGUGGAAGGCUACGAGAAGGGCUACUUUUAGGAGAAUUUUUUGGAGAUUUCCCAAAGGAAGGCCACUUAAACUUAAAACGCUGAAGAGUUGCAUCAGGCAAACUUUCAGUGCCAUGAUCUCCAUUAGUGAGUUCGGAAAAUGAGCUAAUAUCAAAAUAUAAUUAAGUUAUUGAAUUGAUUGUACCUUGUAGCUUAAUUAAUAUUUUUGACAUUGGUAUAAUUUCUCAUUUAAUUAUAGCUUAAUUGGUAUUUUCGAUAUAAUUGCGUUUUUUGCAUAAGAUUUGUAGAAGUUUUAGUCAUUUUUUAUUUAUGAAAAUAGAAAACAAAACAUCUACAAUUAAAAUACAAAUAAUCUACAAUUUAUCUACAAAAUAUCUACAAACUAGGUACAUUAAAUUU